UACAGAGGUCCCGAGCGUUGUUCGGAUUCAUUGGGCGUAAAGGGUGCGUAGGCGGCGGGGCAAGUCUGAUGUGAAAUCCUGGGGCUCAACCCUGGAACUGCAUUGGAUACUGCCUUGCUAGAGUACUGGAGAGGAAACUGGAAUUUACGGUGUAGCAGUGAAAUGCGUAGAGAUCGUAAGGAAGACCAGUGGCGAAGGCGACAUACUGGCUCAUUACUGACGCUGAGGCUCGAAAGCGUGGGGAGCAAACAGG
rnacentral:rRNA from 1 species